GCUCAAGCGCAAAAUGCCCUAGGUGACGAAGCACAGAAGAAUUGCACAACAAAUUUGAUUCAAUGGUGAGGGAUGUCAAGCCCACCGAGACGAGUGGAGGUCCAGUGGAUUAAAGCAAUGUCACAACAUGAGCCACUGACCCGGGAUCAGACAGCCAAACCAAGCCGCUUCUGGACUUUACUGGCACAGCUGCGUCCAUUAGGCAAAAUGCUCAGAAA
rnacentral:lncRNA from 1 species